ensembl:lncRNA
AGCACAGUCAACAUUUUGUUUGGAGUCCUCAGACUGUUCCUGGGUGUCAGUGACUCACCAGGAUAAGUUCAGUGCCUUGGCUUACUCCUAGGAUGCACUAUGCCAAUACAUGAAACAGUGAAGUCAGAGGAUUUUGUGUCUUCAAGGUGCCCAGACACCCCUGAAAAUGAGGCUGCAUUUAUCUACAUAGGUGGAUAUGAAUCUACGCAGACCUCAUUUUCUGAGUCUGAAGAAACACAUCCCAACCAUCAGAACCAGCUCCAACAACAGCCCAGCCACAGGCUCUUUUCACAGCUGCCCACUUUUUUCACCUAAUGACAUAAAGUGCUUGGUCAGCUCUGGCUGUUCUGUAGGACUGAAGCAAGGCUUGGAUAUAAAUUGAUUCAGGGAAUGGAACACCUCUCCUAUGAGGACAGGCUGAGAGAGCUGGGGCUGUUCAGCCUGGAGAAGGCUGCAAUGUGACGUGGUUGAUGCCCCAUUCCUGGAGACCUUCCAGGAGAGGCUGGAUCAGGCCCUGGACAACCUAAUCUAGCUGUGGUGUCCCUGUUCAUUGCAGGGGAGUUGGACUAGAUGGCUUUCAGAGGCCCUUCAACUCUAAGGAUUCUGUGAUUCUAUGAUUCUAUACAUGCUUUCAGCUACCAGACAUGGUGUUAAAACAACUGAAAAAAUGAUGGAGUCUUCUUCUACAGUAAAGACUGACACUGUGAAACAGUAAAAAUUGUUUCACACUUAUCUGUCCUAAUGGAUACAUAGCUGAACUAAACAUACUAUGACUACUAUGACUACUAAACAAACUAUGAAGUGACUUUUUCUUUCCUAUUUAAAAGGGAAAUAUUCAGAGUUGUCAGAACUCACUGGCACGGGGGACAUGCCAGCUAUUAGAGAUAAAAGACUUGAUUAAGGGAUAAAGAGCAAUGGGGUAAGUCCAUGAAACUAUUCUGCUGAAAAUUUUAUUGGACAUUUGUAAAUUCAGGAGAGCUUUGGAGUGGUGGAAAUACUGGCAGUGGUUGUGCUUUAGAGCCAGAUCAUACCAGGAUAUUGGGUAGUGUUUAAGGAAAAGAACUGGGUCAGUUGUUAACCCUACAGAAAGAUCCAUGUAAGGUUAGGAGCUGGAAUAAAUGUGUGGAAAACUAUUAUCCAAUUACUUGUUCUCCCAGGCAACAGUGAGGAAAUCCUGCAAAAUUUCCCUCUUAUGUACUGAGGCCAUAGAGUCUGUGUCAACUCAAGCAUUGCAUGCAGUACGUGUGAUACUGACAUUUAUUUACUUGCUCUUAGCCAAAUCCCUCACAUUGACAACAAUAGGAUCUAUUUAUACAAUUUAGAAAUCUUUGCAUGAAGACACCCAAGAGACCAACUGAAACCGUUUGAAAAGUAUAGCUCUCUCUCUCUCUCUCUAUAUAUAUAUAUAGUUUCAAUAACCAAAACUGGCCUUGGUUGAUUAAAAACAAUUAGAUUGUGCAAUCAUUUGGCUUGGUUGCUUUUGAAAUACAAGAUGCUGAACUACAUGAUGGGCAGAAUUAUUCUAAGCACUAAUUUGUCAAAUCAAGGGAUAUCUUUUGCUGUUACAAGAGCACCUUCUACUGCCUGGGUAAUAGCACUGUGUUAGGAAUGCUCAAUCUUACAAAGACCAAUCUAUUAGAACACUCAGUCUCAGUAGAGCCUUCCUAAGACAUUUUGAGGAAUGAUCUCAUGUACUGUGUGACAAAGGAAAUUAUAUAGACUUCAGACUAAAAUUUGUACUUUUGGAAAUAAAGACUCUUAGAGUUUCAAUUGAAAAUCUCAGUAGGUUUUCACACUAUAGUCUGAUCCAUAUGGAUGCUUUUUCCCAUUUUGAAUACUUAUGUUGAAUUUCUUGGUACUGUUUCAGCUCAUGAAGUAUGGCUAUUUGUCCUAUUUCCAACUUGCUGGGGUGGAGAAUCACAUAGCUCACAAACCACCUAUUAAUAAAACAGCAUUUUUAAUUGCAAUAUGUUUCCAAUAUUUACACAUAUGAAUUUUAUGUUCCCAAGGAAUAACAGUGUCUUGUCAAACUGCGCACUAAAUGUUG